ACGAACGCUGGCGGCGUGCUUAACACAUGCAAGUCGAGCGGUAAGGCCCUUUCGGGGGUACACGAGCGGCGAACGGGUGAGUAACACGUGAGUAAUCUGCCCUUCACUUGGGGAUAAGCUUCGGAAACGGGGUCUAAUACCUGAUACGACAACUCCCUGCAUGGGGUGGUUGUGGAAAGUUUUUUCGGUGGAGGAUGUGCUCGCGGCCUAUCAGCUUGUUGGUGGGGUAAUGGCCUACCAAGGCUUCGACGGGUAGCCGGCCUGAGAGGGUGACCGGCCACACUGGGACUGAGACACGGCCCAGACUCCUACGGGAGGCAGCAGUGGGGAAUAUUGGACAAUGGGCGGAAGCCUGAUCCAGCAACGCCGCGUGAGGGAUGACGGCCUUCGGGUUGUAAACCUCUUUCAGUACCGACGAAGCGCCCGUUGUGGGUGGUGACGGUAGGUACAGAAGAAGCACCGGCCAACUACGU
rnacentral:rRNA from 1 species